CGGGGUAUAGCGCAGUUGGCUAGCGCGCACGCAUGGGGUGCGUGAGGUCGUCGGUUCAAAUCCGACUACCCCGACCA
rnacentral:tRNA from 1 species